UGCUCUUCCAGAUCUGGGCAUUGUUUUUGGUGCCUAAAAGGCAAAUGCCACAAGCACAUCAGAUCUGACUUACCAC